UACGGGGGAUGCAAGCGUCAUCCGGAUUUAUUGGGUUUAAAGGGUGCGUAGGCUGUGAGGUAAGUCAGCGGUGAAAUGCCCCCGCUCAACGGGGUGAAGUGCCAUUGAUACUGCCUUGCUGGAAUGCGGAUGCCGUGGGAGGAAUGUGUGGUGUAGCGGUGAAAUGCAUAGAUAUCACACAGAACACCGAUUGCGAAGGCAUCUCACGAAUCCGCUAUUGACGCUGAUGCACGAAAGCGUGGGUAUCAAACAGG
rnacentral:rRNA from 1 species